GACGAACGCUGGCGGCGUGCUUAACACAUGCAAGUCGAACGAAGUGGCGAACGGGUGAGUAACGCGUAAUCAACCUGCCCUUCAGAGGGGGACAACAGUUGGAAAAGACUGCUAAUACCGCAUACUGAAGGAGGGGAUUGCGUCUGAUUAGCUAGUUGGCGGGGUAACGGCCCACCAAGGCGAUGAUCAGUAGCCUGGCUGAGAAGGUGGACGUGCAAAAGGGGACUGAGACACGGCCCAGACUUCUACGGGAGGCAGGAGUUGGGAAUCUUCCGCAAUGGACGAAAGUCUUACGGAGCAACGCCGGGUGAGUGAUGACGGCCUUCGGGUUGUAAAGGUCUGUUAAUCGGGACGCAGUACCGGAAGAGAAAGCCACGGCUAACUACGUGCCAGCAGCCGCGGUAAUAC
rnacentral:rRNA from 1 species